ACAGAACGAAAAGCCCCCCGCUGGGGGUGGGGGAAGGCUCAGAAGCUCCAAGGUUUCAUGUAGGGCUCCCCAGGCCAAGCUUUGAGGGAAGAUGGGGAGCUUAGAUAUAGUUUUGUCCAGCUUUCACGAUACAAAUGACCAACUUGAGUCUGGAGAGACAGAGAGGUGGAGCUUGGCCUGGAUCCAGGAGAUGAGUUCGGCCUAGCGCUCUGCAGUGGGCCCACCACCCCUGAUACCUAGACGUGUGGUCACCUUGGCGGUGGGGAGGAGGGGCUUGGUCCUGGCAACCCCUCUCAUCCAAUAGCAAGAGAGGGGCUGAUUCAAUGGUUUGAGGGGGCAGGAGCAGUGACACAGCCUGGAGACCCAGCUCUGUCACUCAACUCUACAUAGCCUUCACCCAGAGCCUGACAGUGUAUAUGAACAAGAGGCUGUGCCUGGUGAGUGCUUCUGCCACUUUCUCCAGGAUGACAGCUGUGGACUCCUGCCACAUCCAACACCCCCUUGCUGCUCCCCACCGCCCUCCUUGGCACCCAGGUGGCUGAUCUCCUAUGGUCUUGCUGGCUUCUCUACCUUGUAUGCUGAGGGCGGGCCCAGCCUGCCCCAGCUCAGGGUCUGCACAUAGUAGGUGCUUGCAUGUUGCCUGCUAAACUGACAGCCCUGUAACCAUGUCAGCACAAAGCAACCAGCAUUUUGGGUGCAUCUGCAGUUAAAAUAAACCACUGAGGUCAUGGGUCUGUUCUCUCUGCAAAAACAAAAAUACCCCACUAGCCAUAUCUGAUGAGAACCAUAGCAAAAGAUCAGAAUGUAAUGGCUUCAUCCAGAAGCAAAGCAUGAGGUUCCAAACCAUGUCCCUGACCUGAAGGGGCACCUGCCCAGGCCCAGGGGUGCCAACUCCUAGAGGCAGCUGGCAUGUGACUACUGUGCCCAGUAGAGAAAGGCAGACACUCAGUCCCCAGAGCCCAGAGCCCCGAGGGAAUUAUGGAACAUCCUCCAUAUUUGAUUCAAAAUAAAAACCACAGUAAACCAUAGACCCAAAACUUAUACGUCGGCUGAAAUUAAAAUAGCUUCUUGCUACGUUUUCUGGUUUCAAUAUUCUGGAUAAACUCAUGGAAGCUGAAUCAG
ensembl:lncRNA PSD2-AS1 PSD2 antisense RNA 1